AACAGAAAAUUGUGGAGGUUUUGUUGGUGUGCAACAGAAGAACAUGGCGCAAGAAACUAAUCACAGCCAAGCACCUAUGCUUUGCUCCACUGGCUGCGGAUUUUAUGGAAACCCUCGUACAAAUGGCAUGUGCUCAGUAUGCUAUAAAGAACAUCUUCAAAGACAGAACAGUAGCAAUGGUAGAAUAAGCCCACCUGCAGCUUCUGUCAGCAGUCUGUCUGAAUCCUUACCAGUACAGUGCGCAGAUGGCAGUGUCCCAGACGCUCAGUCGGCGCUAGAUUCUACGUCUUCAUCUAUGCAGCCAGGCCCUGUAUCAAAUCAGUCACUUUUAUCAGAAUCUGUAGCACCUUCCCAAGUGGACAGUACAUCAGUGGACAAAGCAGUAUCCGAGACAGAAGACCUGCAAGGACCCAGAGCAGAGGGCCUUGUUCCUCUUGAAUGUGAUCCUCCAUCUUCAGUAUCAGAUACGACACAGCAGCCAUCUGAAGAGCAAAGCAAGUCUCUUGAAAAACCAAAACAAAAAAAGAAUCGCUGUUUCAUGUGCAGGAAGAAAGUGGGACUUACUGG
rnacentral:lncRNA from 1 species